GUUUUGAGAGGUUUUCUUUAAUGUUGGAGGUGUAGGCCAUCGUCAAGCCAUCUGGAUCAGUUCUGGUCUUAUUUGCUAGUUCGUCGGCAAUUUCGUUACCAUAUAUUCCUGAGUGGCUUGGGAUCCAGAGAAAGGAAUUAGUGAGCUGGCUUCCCAUUUAAAGUGUGUGACGGCUUGAAUUGCUGACUUGGAGUCAGUUAUGAUUAUAAUAUCUUGCCAGUCGAGGAUGAAAAAAGCGCAGGAUGAAACUUUUUCGAGUUGGUGACACGAUCCAUCUGUGAAUACGGAGAGGGCUGAGUCUGCUGCAUUUUCAGUGAAUCUCCUGAAUAAUUCUUGAUUUGGCGAUUUUGUAGAGCAGGCCCGUGAUCCAGGUGUCGUCAUACGCUUUGGCGAGGUCGAGGAAGAUAGCUGUUGUGGUGUGGUUUUGGUUGAAUCCACUUUUAAUGGCUGCUUCUAAUUGGAUGAGGUUGUCUGAAGUGGUGCAUCCCCGUCGGAAUCCAGUCUGGUGUUUGGGUAGGAAUGAGUGUUUGUCUAAGUACCAUUUUAUUCUAUUGUUGAUCAUUUUUUCCAUAAGUUUUGCCAGGCAGGAGGUCAGGGAAAUCGGACGGUACGAGUCGGCGUUUUCUGGUGCUUUCCCAGGCUUUAGGAUUGGGGUUACUGUCGCGUUCUUCCAUGCAUUCGGUCUUCCUUCUUCCCAUAGUUCCGAGUGUGCGUUCAUGUCACCGCCUAUGAUCGUCUCGUUGCGUGGGG